ACAACCAUUCUCGUCAGCGUUUCACACAGCAAGUGUUUCGUCAGCUUUUCACAUUGCAGCUGUGCACGUGAACACGUGUUCACACCGAAUUUUACCGCACCACGCCAUCCUGCUCGCUUACCUCUGGCGCCAUGGCUCCCCGCGCCACGCUCCUGCUCUUCCUCCUCGUCGGGCUGCUCGUCGUCCACCUUUUGACCUUUGUUUCACUGCGACGCACACUACACAGUGCAUUUGUGUUCACACGACUCUCCACAUCUUCUUCAGUCCCGCAAUCCUGUAGCGCGUGGAGCGCCCAUGAAAGCAUGCAGUCUCUGCUCUUUUUGUCCGUGUUCAUGCUGAUCUCUUUGUCAUCCCGUUCAUACUGAAACUCGCCGUCCUCUCCUUGCUCUUCAUCUACCACCCCUCGCCGCAUUCGUUGCUUCGUGCUCGUCGUGCCCGUGAUCUUCGCGGCCGGCUCCCCAAGCGUUCCAGAGCAUGAACGACGUUUUUCCCCACACCUCUCGGCCUCUGGUUUUCCCUCAGAUCCAUCCAGUGCAGUGCAGGCAUCGGCGGCGGCGCUUCGCAGGCCCCGGCUCCUCCCUCGCGGCCGGCUAGGCGGCAGCCAUCGCUCCUGACGUGCGUCCUCCUCCCUCACGUCGUCGUCGUCACCGCCGCCCGUCCCCUUCCCCACACCGCGCCACUGCUACCGUCCGCACCCUUCCCCCCGCACCGCCGUCGCAGCCACAGCCCGCACCACCGCUGGCACCUGUGCGGCUCGCCGCGGCGAGGCACGGGUAGCCCCGCCGUUUCCACCAAACACCGCCUCCUACCGUCCCGUCCUUCCACGCCUUGCCCGAGUUCUUGGCAGUGGCGGCGCGCACGGCGCUGGUGACGCUGCUGCUCGCCAACGGCGCCGCCUUUUGCCUCGUCGCCGCCGCCGCCGUGCGCCUCCGCCUCGACCCGCCCUGCAUCAUCUGCGCCGGCGUCCACUGCCCUGCACCGCCUCCACUCUGGCCGCAGCGUCAUCGGUGUCGGCCGCAGCGUCCAUCGAUUUGCAGAUGCCGAUGAGCAGGGCGCCAUCACUGGCAUCCGUCCUAGCGACCUCGACGGCCUCUAGGACAAGACUUCCGCCACCCGUAGGAGCCGCCACGCCACCUCCUGCGCUCCUCCGUCACGGCGGCUGCCUCUCUACUACGAAGUUUCAUAGGCCCGUCACACCCAUACUGUCCCCAACUCCUGACAUGUCUGAAUACCUCUGUUCUUCUUUGCCUUCUGCACUUGCUUUCUUCCUCCUCCGGCCAUUUUGGUUUUUUCGACUUCAUUCGCGUUUGGGUGCCGCUGCUGGUGCGCUCUUAGCUACACCCUUUCCUUUUAUUCUGUGUUUGAUCCUUCGGUUCAUGAAGAGUUCCUGCAUAUCGCGCGGAUCUAGGAGUUUUGCUGCAAGUUUCUCCGUCCAGUGCCAGAUCUAGGAGCACUCUCAUCUCCUCCUUGGUGUCGCAGGCAAACAAGAAUCUAGAUUCGUUCUGUAGGUUUGUAGGAUCCUCAACUGCCACUGAUAUUCCAAGUGUGAAAAUGUUGACAAGUUAUGCAUUCUCUUGUCUUGCUGAUCAUAUGUAUGGCCUGCCAUGGAAGGCUUCUUGUCCCAAUGAUGACCUUGCACAUGUCCUGCAAUUUACUCAGGUGACCAUUUGCAUGUGUUCUGCAAUUUACUCCAGUUUCAUGUGAUGUGGUCUUGCGUCUUUUCCAGAUUAUAUUUAUCUGUUCAUUAGUAGGUAAUUAGAUUUAUUUAUUAGUAUUUUAUUUCUUCCAAAAUACCUACCUACCAAAUCUGGUAGGGAUCCUAACUUCUUGGUAAGUUUCCAUAUCAACAACCAUUAGAUCAUCAAAUUCAGAUUUCAUUACUCUUGCAUGAUCUUUAACUUAACUAUAGUGCUCAUACUUUGUUCAUUAUACCAUUACAGGCCACAAUUUCACUUUCAAAGAUGGCCAUGUAAACAACUAGCCAAUAACAUUAAAGUUGGUCAAUUGCUACCAUCAUUUACUUGCCACACAUAAGGAAAUGCAUGCAGUUUAGAGCCGCCACAUCCCUUUUAGUUCAGGUCCUGAUUCCUUCCAUGAUAACCUUAGUCCUUAGCAAAUGCGAUGGAGUCUACAUGGUUCAGAUUUGAGUCUGCAUUAUUUAAUCACUUUAUGGCAUUACCUUACCAGCUGCUUCACCAGCCACUGAAUUAUGGAACAGCAUCCAGUUGUUAAUCUAUCUUGUUUUGAUGGGGAUGCCUCUCUAACACCAGAGAAAAAAAAACAGAAAUUAAGCUUCUGUAUGCUACCUAAACUAACAUCUUUUCUUUGUUGAGCAUCAUUUUCUGCAGGAUGAAACAAGCUGACAGGAGCAGUCAUCUGUGGAAUCAGAUUUCGUCCAUUUUGUACAUUAUGUAGGCACCUCCUUAAAAUACCAUCGAGGACCGCAUAUUCAGCAACUUAGCUUACCAUGUAACCAUCAUUUCCUUUAGUGUGCCUGCUGAUGUUAAACAUGGUUACCAGCUGCCAUGACUUCUACCUGUUUGCACUUAACUUUCUAGACCUUGUGCUAUAUAUAACCUUAUUUCCUAUUCUAUCUUCUUGUAGUAGUACCUGUGUGGUUUAUGUCAUUUACGGUCAAUGAGCUGAUGAACCUUAUGUA